rnacentral:rRNA from 1 species
AGAGUUUGAUCCUGGCUCAGAUUGAACGCUGGCGGCAGGCCUAACACAUGCAAGUCGAGCGGUAGAGAGGUGCUUGCACCUCUUGAGAGCGGCGGACGGGUGAGUAAAGCCUAGGAAUCUGCCUGGUAGUGGGGGAUAACGCUCGGAAACGGACGCUAAUACCGCAUACGUCCUACGGGAGAAAGCAGGGGACCUUCGGGCCUUGCGCUAUCAGAUGAGCCUAGGUCGGAUUAGCUAGUUGGUGAGGUAAUGGCUCACCAAGGCGACGAUCCGUAACUGGUCUGAGAGGAUGAUCAGUCACACUGGAACUGAGACACGGUCCAGACUCCUACGGGAGGCAGCAGUGGGGAAUAUUGGACAAUGGGCGAAAGCCUGAUCCAGCCAUGCCGCGUGUGUGAAGAAGGUCUUCGGAUUGUAAAGCACUUUAAGUUGGGAGGAAGGGCAUUAACCUAAUACGUUAGUGUUUUGACGUUACCGACAGAAUAAGCACCGGCUAACUCUGUGCCAGCGGCCGCG